ACUCUUAUGUUUAUGCAUAUCGUUUUUUAACUAAUGGUAUCUUCUAGAAAUCAUUAAUGUCAGUUUACAUCUGACUUUCUGCUGCUCUUCCUCUCACAUUAUUCAUGUUUGAAAGGCUGUUCAUAGCAUUUGUCAGAGAAUGGCUCUUUACCUUCCCAGUGCCAUCUGUUUGGACUGUGCAAGCGGGGAGAUAUUCCUACUUUGCAGUCUCUUUACAAAGAACAGGCUGCAUCCACCAUGUGCAGCUCCUGCCAGGGCAAAGAAUAACAACCAAUUGGGGAAUACAUAAAACAAAUUGGAUGAUGCUUCAGAGAGCCUCUGUAGCCCAACAAGAAAGCAGAAAGCACCAGUUGGAAAAGCUAAACCUUCCAGGAGCAUCUUGCAGACAUGCAGACAGCUGGGCGAAUGGAGGGACUGUGAAGACAUUCCUCAGCUGCUUCAGUGAAAGGUUUGGUCAGGUCAGCUUCAGAACCACGGGAAGCAAUAACACCAGGAGGAGUGGCUGGAACACGUGGGAGCAGGAAGGAUGGGAUGAGGGGUCUCCAAUUGGCUGUUUCUGUGGUGGACUCUCCCCAUUGCUUUAACUCGGGGCCCCCUGUACACGGAGAACAGCUGUGGAUGUGAUUUGUCUCGCUUAAACUGAGGCACAGAAAAGGUAGAUGCUGCAAUCUAAAGGAUGUUUCUUUUGCAACGAAUGGAGAUACACCUCCAAAGAGCUCUUUGUCUAACUUCUUGUAGAUGGCUAUCUAAGGAUGAGAUGAUUGUCCCCUGUAUCUUUCCAUGGACCACAGAAGGAAACUAGACCUGGCCCUUAGCAGUUAGCUUUUUGAUUUGUAUUUUGGGACAGCUAAACCCACCAUAUAGAGAAGGCAGGACUAGAGAUGGAUGCAAAGAACAAUCACAGGCCUAAUUAUUUCUGAGAUGAAAGGGGUGAAUACAUGGAAUGCAUUUAUCUUUUCAGUAUCAGAGUGAACGUCCUGUAAAUUCUCAGCUCUGCAGGCACUGUGGUUGUCUGUGCAUUUGAUGCAAAGCAACCAGGCCGUUAGGUGAAGUUCUCUGGCAGAGCUGUGUGCUGGGCCUGCAGAACCCUCAUCUCUCUUUGAUUCAGUGGAGAAGUACUGCAUUCCCCCCUGAUUUGUGGGUGUGAUCUCAAAAAGCAAAACUGGAACAGCAGGAACACAUUCCCAGAAGUACAACAGAGUGAUGGGGCUGUUAUCACUUAGACCAGCUAGAGGGUGGUUUCUGAUCUAGCUCCAAAUGCCGUCCAUCUAAACCUGCAGAAAUUAACCUCUGCAUCUUUUGAGAUGUAUUCAAAUCUACAGGCCUGAAAAGAUGCCCUGCGUUUCCCCAUAUGUCAGAGUAGUGAGGUCAGCAUGAAUUCCAAGUCCUGAAGCCACAGAGCUGAAGUGCAAACUUGGAGCUUGGGCUGUGGAUUGUUUCAGUGAUUCUACUAAGUCUGGCUUACAAGGGUAUUACUUUAAUCUACCAAUGACUUCCUUGCAUAUACAUGUAAUAAUAUACAUCAUCCUGAGUUCCUGGUCAUGCAUACGGCUGCUCAGCUAUGCACAGCCACCUUAUCAGUCAGGCUUCAGUGGUGGUGACUCUGUUGAAAAACUGUAAGCAAUGAUAAGGAAAAGGCAGUAGAAACUGGAAAUGCUGUUUGCUGCAAACAGUGCCCCAGCUGAGUCCAGGCCAGACUGGACCUGAGCUCACUGAAGGAUAAGGGUCUGACUUCUUUUCCACCUGGUUCUCUGGUGUUUCUGCAUUGCCGGCCAGGGUUGGUGAUCAGCACCUGGACGUGCAGCUAUGGCUGUAAUUCACAGAUGUUAUCUGAGUCCAAUGGAAUAAGGGGCAGAGCCAGGUUCGAAGUGGAUGCCGUGGCUGAACAUCACGGCUCACUCAGCCGCCCAACAGAGACCAUCUGGAUCUGGUUCUGUUCGUCCACCUGAGACUGCCAUUCACAAGAUGGAUCUUGCAGACUUCAGCACAUCUACAGCAUCGGGAACACCAAACGAUGAUGGCCAGAAGGAAUAUUAGUAGGCUCUGUCCACUGAUUCCACAGCUGUACAAUAAAAUACCGGGUGGAGUCCCAUCACCUCUCGAUGUGAGGUCGAUAUGUGCCCUCUGAGGAAACACCUUCAAGCAGAACCUCACUUUCUGAUCUUCCUGAAGUCUCAGAAUCCAGAUUACGCACCAUCCCUAUGCGGAAUCAGGACAACCUCCCUCUGAGAAUUCAGAGCCUGCAGGAUGCUUAGUAGGACAUGCCUGGAAUUACACAGAUUAUGCCUCCUUGCAUGGGAGAAGUAGAAAAGUCACAGCAUGGGUUAAAAAUACGCUUGUCUUCUCUCAAUAAUUAAUUGUUUAGGGAUUAACAUGAGGUUUUGUGUUUUGAAAGUAAACUAAUCCACUCGUUGGCUGGUGUGUAAUGAAGGAGAACAGGCUACUGUCAAGCAGGCUGAAAACAGUGAAAAUUAACUACAAGUGCCACGACUCACAUAUUUUAUGUAUAUGAGUAAUGUAUUCUCUGUGGGACAGAAGAUGAAAAUAUCACACAGAAAAGAAAAACACAGUGGCUACAAAUUUAAUAAAACAAGCAGUCAUACUUAGCCUCGCAGUAUAGUCUGGCAUUUUUACUGCCCGAUGGUAUCAAGGUUGGGCCAGUGCAAGAGAAUUCAUGCUCGUGAACUCACAAGAAGCACAAACUUCACUUUCUGCAGCCUCUCUGCUUGCAGAGCUAGCAAAAGGGAAGGAAAAUACAACUAAAACCCAGAAAACACUGAAUUAAAAU
ensembl:lncRNA